UACAGAGGGUGCGAGCGUUGUCCGGAAUCACUGGGCGUAAAGGGCGCGUAGGCGGUGACUUAAGCGUGUGGUGAAAGCUCGGGGCUCAACCCCGAGUCGGCCGUGCGAACUGGGUCACUGGAGCAUGUCAGAGGCAGGCGGAAUUCCGGGUGUAGCGGUGAAAUGCGCAGAUAUCAGGAAGAACACCAAUGGCGAAAGCAGCUUUCUGGGACGGUACUGACGCUGAGACGCGAAAGCGUGGGGAGCGAACAGG
rnacentral:rRNA from 1 species